GUGGGGAAUAUUGGGCAAUGGGGGAAACCCUGACCCAGCGACGCCGCGUGAGGGAAGAAGGCCUUAGGGUCGUAAACCUCUGUUGUGUGGGAAGAAGAGCGUGACGGUACCACACGAGGAAGUCCCGGCUAACUACGUGCCAGCAGCCGCGGUAAUACGUAGGGGACGAGCGUUGUCCGGAUUUACUGGGCGUAAAGGGCGCGUAGGCGGUCAUUUAAGUCAGCUGUGAAAUGGUUUGGCUUAACCGGAUCAUGCGGUUGAAACUGGAUGGCUGGAGUGCUGGAGAGGCAAGUGGAAUUCCCAGUGUAGCGGUGAAAUGCGUAGAUAUUGGGAAGAACACCGGUGGCGAAGGCGACUUGCUGGCCAGCAACUGACGCUGAGGCGCGAAAGCCAGGGGAGCAAACGGGAUUAGAAACCCCGGUAGUCC
rnacentral:rRNA from 1 species